AGAGUUUGAUCAUGGCUCAGAACGAACGCUGGCGGCGUGCUAAUACAUGCAAGUCGAACGAGAAAGUGGCUUCGGCCAUGAGUAAAGUGGCAGAGGGUGAGUAAUACAUAGGUAACCUACCCUCGAGAUAGGGAUAACCUUCCGAAAGGAGGGCUAAUACCGAAUAAGACCACAGUUACUACGGUAACAGGGGUCAAAGGAUGGCCUCUACUUGUAAGCUAUCGCUUGAGGAUGGGCUUAUGCACCAUUAGCCUGUUGGUGAGGUAACGGCUCACCAAAGCUUUGAUGGUUAACUGAUCUGAGAGGUUGAUCAGUCACACUGGAACUGAGACACGGUCCAGACUCCUACGGGAGGCAGCAGUAGGGAAUAUUGCGCAAUGGAGGAAACUCUGACGCAGCGACGCCGCGUGGGUGAUGAAGGCUUUCGGGUCGUAAAGCCCUGUCGGAAGGGAAGAAAAUCGGUAUGGCUAAUAUCCAUACCGCUUGACGGUACCUUUAAAGGAAGCACCGGCUAACUACGUGCCAGCAGCCGCGGUAAUACGUAGGGUGCAAGCGUUGUUCGGAAUCAUUGGGCGUAAAGCGCGUGUAGGUGGUUAUGUAAGUCGGGUGUGAAAGCCCUGGGCUCAACCGAGGAAGUGCAUCCGAAACUACAUAGCUAGAGGACGGUAGAGGAAGGUGGAAUUCCUAGUGUAGAGGUGAAAUUCGUAGAUAUUAGGAGGAAUACCGGUGGCGAAGGCGGCCUUCUGGGCCGGACCUGACACUGAGACGCGAAAGCGUGGGUAGCAAACAGGAUUAGAUACCCUAGUAGUCC
rnacentral:rRNA from 1 species